CAGUAGCCGCGGUAAUACGAAGGGGGCUAGCGUUGUUCGGAAUAACUGGGCGUAAAGGGCGCGUAGGCGGAUCUUUAAGUCAGGGGUGAAAUCCCAAGGCUCAACCUUGGAACUGCCUUUGAUACUGGAGAUCUUGAGUCCGGGAGAGGUGAGUGGAACUGCGAGUGUAGAGGUGAAAUUCGUAGAUAUUCGCAAGAACACCAGUGGCGAAGGCGGCUCACUGGCCCGGUACUGACGCUGAGGCGCGAAAGCGUGGGGAGCAAACAGGAUUAGAUACCCCCGUAGUCCCUGUCUCUUAUAC
rnacentral:rRNA from 1 species